rnacentral:rRNA from 1 species
UGAGGUAACGGCUCACCAAGGCGACGACGGGUAGCUGGUCUGAGAGGACGAUCAGCCACACUGGGACUGAGACACGGCCCAGACUCCUACGGGAGGCAGCAGUGGGGAAUCUUGCGCAAUGGGCGAAAGCCUGACGCAGCAACGCCGCGUGCGGGAUGAAGGCCUUCGGGUUGUAAACCNCUUUCAGUGGGGACGAAAACAGANGGUACCCACAGAAGAAGCCCCGGCCAACUACGUGCCAGCAGCCGCGGUAACACGUAGGGGGCGAGCGUUGUCCGGAAUCAUUGGGCGUAAAGAGCUCGUAGGUGGCUCAAUAAGUCGGGUGUGAAACCCCCAGGCUCAACCUGGGGACGCCACCCGAUACUGUUGUGGCUAGAGUCCAGUAGGGGAGUGUGGAAUUCCCGGUGUAGCGGUGAAAUGCGCANAUAUCGGGAGGAACACCAGCGGCGAAGGCGGCACUCUG